UACGUAGGGGGCAAGCGUUAUCCGGAUUUACUGGGUGUAAAGGGAGCGUAGGCGGCCAUGCAAGUCAGAAGUGAAAGCCCGGGGCCCAACCGCGGGACUGCUUUUGAAACUGUAAGGCUUGAUUGCCGGAGAGGUAAGCGGAAUUCCUAGUGUAGCGGUGAAAUGCGUAGAUAUUAGGAGGAACACCAGUGGCGAAGGCGGCUUACUGGACGGCGAAUGACGCUGAGGCUCGAAAGCGUGGGGAGCAAACAGG
rnacentral:rRNA from 1 species